rnacentral:rRNA from 1 species
UUAAGCGACUAAGCGUACACGGUGGAUGCCCUGGCAGUCAGAGGCGAUGAAGGACGUGCUAAUCUGCGAUAAGCGUCGGUAAGGUGAUAUGAACCGUUAUAACCGGCGAUUUCCGAAUGGGGAAACCCAGUGUGUUUCGACACACUAUCAUUAACUGAAUCCAUAGGUUAAUGAGGCGAACCGGGGGAACUGAAACAUCUAAGUACCCCGAGGAAAAGAAAUCAACCGAGAUUCCCCCAGUAGCGGCGAGCGAACGGGGAGCAGCCCAGAGCCUGAAUCAGUAUGUGUGUUAGUGGAAGCGUCUGGAAAGGCGCGCGAUACAGGGUGACAGCCCCGUACACAAAAAUGCACAUAUUGUGAGCUCGAUGAGUAGGGCGGGACACGUGGUAUCCUGUCUGAAUAUGGGGGGACCAUCCUCCAAGGCUAAAUACUCCUGACUGACCGAUAGUGAACCAGUACCGUGAGGGAAAGGCGAAAAGAACCCCGGCGAGGGGAGUGAAAAAGAACCUGAAACCGUGUACGUACAAGCAGUGGGAGCACGCUUAGGCGUGUGACUGCGUACCUUUUGUAUAAUGGGUCAGCGACUUAUAUUCUGUAGCAAGGUUAACCGAAUAGGGGAGCCGAAGGGAAACCGAGUCUUAACUGGGCGUUAAGUUGCAGGGUAUAGACCCGAAACCCGGUGAUCUAGCCAUGGGCAGGUUGAAGGUUGGGUAACACUAACUGGAGGACCGAACCGACUAAUGUUGAAAAAUUAGCGGAUGACUUGUGGCUGGGGGUGAAAGGCCAAUCAAACCGGGAGAUAGCUGGUUCUCCCCGAAAGCUAUUUAGGUAGCGCCUCGUGAAUUCAUCUCCGGGGGUAGAGCACUGUUUCGGCAAGGGGGUCAUCCCGACUUACCAACCCGAUGCAAACUGCGAAUACCGGAGAAUGUUAUCACGGGAGACACACGGCGGGUGCUAACGUCCGUCGUGAAGAGGGAAACAACCCAGACCGCCAGCUAAGGUCCCAAAGUCAUGGUUAAGUGGGAAACGAUGUGGGAAGGCCCAGACAGCCAGGAUGUUGGCUUAGAAGCAGCCAUCAUUUAAAGAAAGCGUAAUAGCUCACUGGUCGAGUCGGCCUGCGCGGAAGAUGUAACGGGGCUAAACCAUGCACCGAAGCUGCGGCAGCGACGCUUAUGCGUUGUUGGGUAGGGGAGCGUUCUGUAAGCCUGUGAAGGUGUGCUGUGAGGCAUGCUGGAGGUAUCAGAAGUGCGAAUGCUGACAUAAGUAACGAUAAAGCGGGUGAAAAGCCCGCUCGCCGGAAGACCAAGGGUUCCUGUCCAACGUUAAUCGGGGCAGGGUGAGUCGACCCCUAAGGCGAGGCCGAAAGGCGUAGUCGAUGGGAAACAGGUUAAUAUUCCUGUACUUGGUGUUACUGCGAAGGGGGGACGGAGAAGGCUAUGUUGGCCGGGCGACGGUUGUCCCGGUUUAAGCGUGUAGGCUGGUUUUCCAGGCAAAUCCGGAAAAUCAAGGCUGAGGCGUGAUGACGAGGCACUACGGUGCUGAAGCAACAAAUGCCCUGCUUCCAGGAAAAGCCUCUAAGCAUCAGGUAACAUCAAAUCGUACCCCAAACCGACACAGGUGGUCAGGUAGAGAAUACCAAGGCGCUUGAGAGAACUCGGGUGAAGGAACUAGGCAAAAUGGUGCCGUAACUUCGGGAGAAGGCACGCUGAUAUGUAGGUGAAGUCCCUCGCGGAUGGAGCUGAAAUCAGUCGAAGAUACCAGCUGGCUGCAACUGUUUAUUAAAAACACAGCACUGUGCAAACACGAAAGUGGACGUAUACGGUGUGACGCCUGCCCGGUGCCGGAAGGUUAAUUGAUGGGGUUAGCGCAAGCGAAGCUCUUGAUCGAAGCCCCGGUAAACGGCGGCCGUAACUAUAACGGUCCUAAGGUAGCGAAAUUCCUUGUCGGGUAAGUUCCGACCUGCACGAAUGGCGUAAUGAUGGCCAGGCUGUCUCCACCCGAGACUCAGUGAAAUUGAACUCGCUGUGAAGAUGCAGUGUACCCGCGGCAAGACGGAAAGACCCCGUGAACCUUUACUAUAGCUUGACACUGAACAUUGAGCCUUGAUGUGUAGGAUAGGUGGGAGGCUUAGAAGUGUGGACGCCAGUCUGCAUGGAGCCGACCUUGAAAUACCACCCUUUAAUGUUUGAUGUUCUAACGUUGACCCGUAAUCCGGGUUGCGGACAGUGUCUGGUGGGUAGUUUGACUGGGGCGGUCUCCUCCUAAAGAGUAACGGAGGAGCACGAAGGUUGGCUAAUCCUGGUCGGACAUCAGGAGGUUAGUGCAAUGGCAUAAGCCAGCUUGACUGCGAGCGUGACGGCGCGAGCAGGUGCGAAAGCAGGUCAUAGUGAUCCGGUGGUUCUGAAUGGAAGGGCCAUCGCUCAACGGAUAAAAGGUACUCCGGGGAUAACAGGCUGAUACCGCCCAAGAGUUCAUAUCGACGGCGGUGUUUGGCACCUCGAUGUCGGCUCAUCACAUCCUGGGGCUGAAGUAGGUCCCAAGGGUAUGGCUGUUCGCCAUUUAAAGUGGUACGCGAGCUGGGUUUAGAACGUCGUGAGACAGUUCGGUCCCUAUCUGCCGUGGGCGCUGGAGAACUGAGGGGGGCUGCUCCUAGUACGAGAGGACCGGAGUGGACGCAUCACUGGUGUUCGGGUUGUCAUGCCAAUGGCACUGCCCGGUAGCUAAAUGCGGAAGAGAUAAGUGCUGAAAGCAUCUAAGCACGAAACUUGCCCCGAGAUGAGUUCUCCCUGACUCCUUGAGAGUCCUGAAGGAACGUUGAAGACGACGACGUUGAUAGGCCGGGUGUGUAAGCGCAGCGAUGCGUUGAGCUAACCGGUACUAAUGAACCGUGAGGCUUAACCUU